AGAGAAGUAUUAUCUAUUCUGGACCAUAUAUAAGUCUCCUGGAAUGGGGCAUCAUAGAGGGUGAGAAUCCCGUCUUUAAUAUGGACUACCAGUAUGUUAUGAUAUGCUCUCAACGAGUCGAGUUGUUUGGGAAUGCAGCUCUAAAUGGGUGGUAAAUUCCAUCUAAAGCUAAAUAUUGGCGAGAGACCGAUAGUAAACAAGUACCGUGAGGGAAAGAUGAAAAGAACUUUGGAAAGAGAGUUAAACAGUACGUGAAAUUGUUGAAAGGGAAACGCUUAAAGUCAGUCACAUUGAUCAGGGAUCAAUCUUGCUUUUUGCUUGAUGUAUUUUCUGAUUAAUGGGUCAGCAUCAAUUUUGAUCAGUGGAAAAAGGCUGAGAAAAUGUGGCAUCUUUUGAUGUGUUAUAGUUCUUUGUCAUAUACAUUGAUUGAAAUUGAGGAACUCAGCAUGCCGCAAGGCCAGGUUUUAAUCAUGUUCAUGCUUAGGAUGCUGGCAUAAUGUCUUUAAUCGACCCGUCUUGAAACACGGACCAAGGAGUCUAACAUGCAUGCAAGUGUUUGGGUGAAAAACCCAUGCGCGUAAUGAAAGUGAAAGUUGGGAUCUCUGUCAUGGAAAGCACCGACACCCAGACCAGACCUUCUGUGACGGAUCUGCGGUUGAGCAUGUAUGUUGGGACCCGAAAGAUGGUGAACUAUGCCUGAAUAGGGUGAAGCCAGAGGAAACUCUGGUGGAGGCUC
rnacentral:rRNA from 1 species